GAGCGCUGCCGGAGCCCCGCCGCGCUGCCAUGGCGCCGAGGCGGCGCCGGGGCUGGGCCGCGCCGGGCUCCCUGUUGCCGUUGCUCUGCGCCCUGCUCCGCGCCGCCGCCGACACCAGCACGGGCCGGGAUUGGUUAAAAACUUACGGCUACUUGCUUCCGUCUGACAGCCACACGUCUGCCGUGCAGUCGGGAAAAGCUGUGCAGUCCGCGGUUGCCACUAUGCAACAGUUUUAUGGGAUCCCAGUAACAGGAGUUUUGGACCAGACAACUAUUGAGAGUCCACCCAGGUGAGGAGAACCUCCAUCAUCCUCUUGAGAGAGGUGAUCGACGCCAUGGAGAGGAACAAGAAGCACCUCAAGAUCGUGAGGAGGAACCUCAUCCCCCUGUUCUUCAGGAUGAGCGACCAGCUCAUGCUGGUGGCUGAGAUGGGGGCUUGUCCGGGAGCUGAAGUCGUCUUCCUGGGGGGCCUCUGUCGCUGAAGGACGGGAAGACGCAUCCCGUUGAUUUCAACGGUCUCGUGGAUCAUCGACAGGGGUUCCAGAGGAGACCAACCGGAUCCUGAGACCGAGUUUUGAAGGCAGACCCAGUGAACCACAGGGGGGAAGGAUGGGAAUAGUAGGCACAAUCGUAUCAACCAGGAAACUCUGUGCACAGACCAAGGAAAAAAGGGCUUAUAGCCCAAACACCACCUCUCGAGUUUGCAGCCCACACCAUCGAGCAUGAAGGGCAGAUCUUGAUCAAGUCCUGAAAAGAAACCAAACUGCAACCCGAAUGGCAAGGCCUGUUCCAGGUGUUACUGACCACUGAGACAGCAGUAAGAAUGGCUGGAAAAAAAAAAAGACUGGACUCAUUACAUCAGACUCAGAGGAGCAAUGGACUCUGACUCGAGGAUGGACAGCGGCACGUCUGUCAGACUACAAACUACUUGUGUCUUAAAGAAGCAGUAAGAAUCCAAUGGAAACAAGGACACUCAUUACUAUUACUAACUGAUGAGGUGGUGGUAGCAGAAAUGUCGUUAAUUGUUGAAAAUGAGGGAGAUCAUUGUAAUUAUGGGCUAUUGUUUGUUGGAAAUCCAGGGGACAGCAUCAUGACCACUGGAGUGGGACAAAGUAGUGUUCAGUUAAACUAUGGAUAAACGUAACUGAUAGGGAGGCUCCACAAACUAUACAGUUUAAUGCUUGUCAAAUAGAACCUAUGGACUUGGAGCAGAUAUAAAUGGAAGGGAUUCAGGAUUGUAGUGUAGAAAUCAAAGAGGGGACUGAGUCAAAGGAUAGCAACUCCUACUACAUCACCUAAAAUAAAACCAUGAGACCCACCAAAUGACCCAAAGAUUGUAACUAUAACUUAAGUAAAGAAUUUAACUGAAGUAAAUACUUUAACGCAAACAUUUGAGACUGAAGCAGGAUAUGGAGAUGUAAGUGCCUGGAUUGAAUGGGUUUAAAUAUACAGUGUAAAGCCUGAA